rnacentral:rRNA from 1 species
UACAUAUGGGGCAAGCGUUGUUCGGAAUUACUGGGCAUAAAGGGUGCGUAGGUGGUCUAUUAAGUCAGGGGUGAAGUCCCGCGGCCCAACCGUGGAACGGCCUUUGAUACUGAUGGACUUUGAGUGCGUGAGGGGUAGGGGGGAACGAGCAGUGUAGCGGUGAAAUGCGUAGAUAUUGCUCGGAAGGCCAGAGCCGAAGGGGCCCUACUGGUACGUAACUGACACUGAGGCACGAAAGCGUGGGGGAGCAAACAGG